rnacentral:rRNA from 1 species
GACAGGGAGGGGCAAGCGUUUGUUCGGAUUUACUGGGCGUAAAGGGCGCGUAGGCGGUCGUGACAAGUCACUUGUGAAAUCUCCGGGCUUAACUCGGAAAGGUCAAGUGAUACUGUCGGACUAGAGUGCAGAAGGGGCAACUGGAAUUCUCGGUGUAGCGGUGAAAUGCGUAGAUAUCGAGAGGAACACCUGCGGCGAAGGCGGGUUGCUGGGCUGAUACUGACGCUGAGGAGCGAAAGCAUGGGGAGCGAACAGG